UUCUUAUUGGAUGAUGACGGUCACAUGUUAUGUUUUGCUUGGAUAUCAACUCCAUGAAAGAUGAAAUACAUUGUUGUUUUCAUUGACCAAUCAGAACAUGACACGUGACAGUCAACCUCA
rfam:Glycine soja cultivar W05 scaffold524_11, whole genome shotgun sequence.